UGCCCAGCAAUUCCUAUCCCUACCUCCUCGUGGUACUGGCCGGGGUACGAGUAACCUUGGGGAAGAUCGGGUAACCAAUCCCCGGUGCGAACUUUGGUCGUAUGCUGACAGGGAAGG
rnacentral:ribozyme from 1 species